AAGCCAUUAUGCGGGCAAUCUUUUACCAACCUUUUAAACCUCGCCCAGGCGUCACUAAGUGAUCCGUCAAUGUCUUGUUCAAAAUUAGUGAUCAACUUCCUUCUUCU